UGGGGAAUUUUGGACAAUGGGCGAAAGCCUGAUCCAGCAAUGCCGCGUGUGUGAAGAAGGCCUUCGGGUUGUAAAGCACUUUUGUCCGGAAAGAAAUCCUUGGCUCUAAUACAGUCGGGGGAUGACGGUACCGGAAGAAUAAGCACCGGCUAACUACGUGCCAGCAGCCGCGGUAAUACGUAGGGUGCAAGCGUUGAUCGGAAUUACUGGGCGUAAAGCGUGCGCAGGCGGUUUGCUAAGACCGACGUGAAAUCCCCGGGCUCAACCUGGGAACUGCAUUGGUGACUGGCAGGCUAGAGUAUGGCAGAGGGGGGUAGAAUUCCACGUGUAGCAGUGAAAUGCGUAGAGAUGUGGAGGAAUACCGAUGGCGAAGGCGAGCCCCCUGGGCCAAUACUGACGCUCAUGCACGAAAGCGUGGGGGAGCAAAACAGGAUUAGAUACCCUGGUAGUCCACGCCCUAAACGAUGUCAACUAGUUGUUGGGGAUUCAUUUCCUUAGUAACGUAGCUAACGCGUGAAGUUGACCGCCUGGGGAGUACGGUCGCAAGAUUAAAACUUAAAUGAAUUGACGGGGUCAUAGCUGUUUCC
rnacentral:rRNA from 1 species